AUGUCGUCUGUCACUAUACCCCCACCAAAAUGCCUGCUGAAAUCGUUAGAGGUCCCUUAUCGUCACAUGUUUGGACCAGGACCUUCCAAUGUUCCUUCACGAAUCUUGGAGGCCGGGGCCAAUCCUGUCAUUGGACACAUGCAUCCAGAGAUAUUUAAGAUAAUGAGUGACAUCAAAAGUGGAAUCCAGUACAUGUUCCAGACUCAGAACAACAUGACUUUAGCAGUGAGCGGCACUGGCCACAGUGCGAUGGAGUGUGCCAUCUUCAACGCAGUGGAGCCCGGGGAGAGCGUGCUGACUGCAGUCAACGGCAUAUGGGGAGAGCGAGCGGCAGAAAUGGCUGAGAGGAUAGGUGCCAGAGUAAAUACCAUUGUGACGCCCCCUGGUGGUUCCUUCACUAAUGCCGAAAUUGAGCAGGCCUUAUCGAAACACAGGCCAGUGCUGUUCUUCCUUGCACAUGGAGAAUCUUCUACAGGAGUCUUGCAUCCUUUAGAAGGCAUCGGACAGCUGUGCCAUAAGUAUGACUGUUUGUUUCUUGUUGACGCUGUGGCAUCAUUGGGAGGGACCCCUCUGUACAUGGACCAGCUAGAGAUAGACAUCCUAUACACAGGCUCCCAAAAGGUUUUGAAUGCUCCUCCGGGUACAGCACCCAUCUCCUUCAGUGAGAGAGCAUGCCAGAAAAUAUUAAACCGGAGGACAAAGCCUGUGUCAUUCUUCUUGGAUAUGAGUUGGCUUGCAAACUACUGGGGAUGUGAUGGCAAGCUGUCAAGAGUAUAUCACCAUACAGGUCCAGUCACUGCUUUUUACUCCCUGAGGGAGAGUCUGGCUGUCCUUGUUGAAGAGGGUCUGCAGAAUUCAUGGGAAAGACAUCAAGAAGUGGCUGAGUAUUUCCAUGCUGGCCUAGAGAGCAUGGGUCUUAAACUUUUUGUCAAAUCAAAAGUGAAAAGCAAGACUCCCUACGGUUACCACCAUUGUUGCUCCUCAUGGAUAUGACUGGAAAGAGAUCACAGCCUACAUCAUGAAAACACAUAAUUUAGAGAUUUCUGGGGGGCUCGGACCAUCAGUUGGCUUGGUGUUGCGUGUGGGGCUGAUGGGAUGUAACAGCAGCAAGGCCAAUGUUGACAUGGUGUUGGCAGCACUGAAGGAUGCUCUGAAACACUGUCAUAAGAGCAAAGUGUAACAUGUUGCUGUUGGAUGCUGUGAAGAUAAUCAAGAAAGAGAUUGUAAUUAAUAAACCCUUAUUCUCAGUA